UACGGAGGGGGCUAGCGUUGUUCGGAAUUACUGGGCGUAAAGCGUGCGCAGGCGGCGCCGCAAGUCAGGCGUGAAAUCCCCGAGCUUAACUUGGGAAUGGCGCUUGAAACUACGGUGCUGGAGUGUGGCAGAGGGAGGUGGAAUUCCACGUGUAGCGGUGAAAUGCGUAGAGAUGUGGAGGAACACCGAUGGCGAAGGCAGCCUCCGGGGCCAACACUGACGCUCAUGCACGAAAGCGUGGGGAGCAAACAGG
rnacentral:rRNA from 1 species